GAGAGGUAGAUGGAAUUUCUGGUGUAGGGGUAAAAUCCGUAGAGAUCAGAAGGAAUACCGAUUGCGAAGGCGAUCGUCUACUGGAACAUUAUUGACGCUGAGAUGCGAAAGCGUGGGGAGCAAACAGGAUUAGAUACCCUGGUAGUCCACGCCCUAAACGAUGUACACUAGUUGUUGUGAGACUUGAUCUUGCAGUAAUGCAGUUAACACAUUAAGUGUACCGCCUGGGGAGUACGGUCGCAAGAUUAAAACUCAAAGGAAUAGACGGGGACCCGCACAAGCGGUGGAGCAUGUGGUUUAAUUCGACGAUACACGAAGAACCUUACCUGGACUUGACAUAGUAAGAACUUUCUAGAGAUAGAUUGGUGUCUGCUUGCAGAAACUUAUAUACAGGUGCUGCACGGCUGUCGUCAGCUCGUGUCGUGAGAUGUUGGGUUAAGUCCCGCAACGAGCGCAACCCUCGUGUUUAGUUGCUAACAGUUCGGCUGAGAACUCUAAACAGACUGCCUACGCAAGUAGGAGGAAGGUGAGGACGACGUCAAGUCAUCAUGGCCCUUACGUCCAGGGCUACACACGUGCUACAAUGGGAUAUACAAAGAGCGGCAAUACGGUGACGUGGAGCAAAUCUUAUAAAAUAUCUCCCAGUUCGGAUUGUAGUCUGCAACUCGACUACAUGAAGUUGGAAUCGCUAGUAAUCGUAGAUCAGCUAUGCUACGGUGAAUACGUUCCCGGGUCUUGUACUCACCGCCCGUCACACCAUGGGAGUCGAACUCAUUCGAAGCGGGGAUGCUAAAAUAGCUACCUUCCACAGUGGAUUUGGCGACUGGGGUGAAGUCGUAACAAGGUAACC
rnacentral:rRNA from 1 species